rnacentral:rRNA from 1 species
GUGAACGCUGGCGGUAGGCCUAACACAUGCAAGUCGAACGGCAGCACAGUAAGAGCUUGCUCUUACGGGUGGCGAGUGGCGGACGGGUGAGGAAUACAUCGGAAUCUACUUUUUCGUGGGGGAUAACGUAGGGAAACUUACGCUAAUACCGCAUACGACCUACGGGUGAAAGCAGGGGAUCUUCGGACCUUGCGCGAUUGAAUGAGCCGAUGUCGGAUUAGCUAGUUGGCGGGGUAAAGGCCCACCAAGGCGACGAUCCGUAGCUGGUCUGAGAGGAUGAUCAGCCACACUGGAACUGAGACACGGCCCAGACUCCUACGGGAGGCAGCAGUGGGGAAUAUUGGACAAUGGGCGCAAGCCUGAUCCAGCCAUACCGCGUGAGUGAAGAAGUCGUUCGGGUUGUAAAGCCCUUUUGUUGGGAAAGAAAAGCAGCAGGUUAAUACCCCGCUGUUCUGACGGUACCCAAAGAAUAAGCACCGGCUAACUUCGUG